rnacentral:lncRNA from 1 species
AACGUUAAUCAAGGAGCCGGUUUCUCUGAGUAAACAUUCCACUGGGAGUGAGGUAUCUGCCGCAACCAUUUUCUAUGCAGAAAUACAGAGGAACUCCACAGAAGAGCUCCUCAUGAAACUGAGGGUGUGAGCAGGUUGGGGUACGUAUAUGAUAACCGCUUCUUGAGGAUUUUAUUACUUCCCUUCCCAUCUUGUAAUGGCACUGCCUGAUAGUAACGACAGUUUCCUUUAUUCCUCGGCCCUGUCGGGGCCGCAGCAGUGGGCACGCCGCUGGGAAAAAGCAGAAGACAGAGGACAAAACCGCCGCGCCGCACGGGUUGCAGAGCUGCCCGUUCCAGUGACGUGCAACACUGAACUUCACUCAGGACCUAAUAUGAAGAAAUUGUACAGAAAGGAGGCUUAUGAGAAGCAGACGGAAGGAGCGAGAGAACCCCUGAGCUUUUCGGUCCUGUCAGAUACGGUUUUCCUCGGCUCCCUGAAAUCCAGUAAGUACCUGAAGAUCGCGGCAGUUGGUGGAGGAGGCAGGGGUGGUAGAUGAUGGUGUUCUUUUUUCCUUUUACCCUGUCCCUUUUCUUUUUCCCCUUUUUACUACGGUAAACAAAUUUUCAGUUUAGGACAUCAGCAAAGUGUGUGCAUAAUACUGUAUUUAAUUUGUUAAGAAAAGCACCUCGGUUUGUGUUGGGGCUGAAGUCUAGAACCAGAUUCACCGUAAAGGCACGUUAUCUUACAGAACAUUCUGUUUUCUGCGUAUUCAUACUGUUUAGAGAAUAAUACUGGGUGAGGUAAUUUAAAUGGAGUUGAAAGUCAUUGAAAAGACGGUAAAGCUCAUCGAGUCCAACCGUGACCUAACCGGACUACCCUAACUAACAACCCUCCACUCAGUCAUGUCCCUGAGCACCACAUCCAAACGGUUUUGAAACACAUCCAGGGAUGGUGACUCGAUCGCCUCCCCGGGGAGCCUAUUCCAGUGCUCGGCAACUCUUUUUGUACAGAAGCUUUUCCUGGUAUCCAGCCAAAACCUCCCCCGGCGCGAAUUAAGGCUAUACAUCAGAGAAAUGUCUGUGAUACUGCAGAAGCCAGUAUGGGCCCCCAAGCCCGUAGGGUAUGCAAAGGAGGAGUCAGCGGUCGCUUCUUGUGCCGGAAGAUCACCGUGGAGUUCCACAAGGAUGUUUUUAUCGCUGGUGUGAGAAAGAGAACGAACGGAGAAGCGAUACAGUUUGCUAGGUUACUCACUGUAAGCGAGACAAGGGUAAUGGCCAAAAAGAUAUAGAAGGCUCUUUUGGGGUACUAGAGCAACAGAUCAAGUUCCUCGUCGAUGUACGCAGUGUGACGAGCGCAGGAAGAGAAACGUUUCUUUUCAGGAAGGACUAUUUGCACAAACAUCAUCCUUAAAUUCCUUUGUGUAAUUUCUACUAAAAUUACUGAUGUCUUCCAAAUUGUAGGAAAUGAUAAGCAAGCGGCACCGAAUAACCAAGUAAGUCUUAUGAAGUCACGAGUAAGUAGCUUAACUUCCCUUUGGGCCUGAAUUCUUGCAUUUU